rfam:Triticum aestivum genome assembly, contig: Triticum_aestivum_CS42_TGACv1_scaffold_375410_5AL
UUGUUACUCCCUCCGUCCGAAAAUACUUGUCGCAGAAAUGGAUCAAAAUGGAUGUAUCUAGAACUAAAAUACGUCUAGAUACAUCCAUUUCCCAGACAAGUAUUUCUGGACGGAGGGAGUACUUC